rnacentral:tRNA from 2 species
GGGGUAGUGGUCCAGCUUGGUUAGGAUUGGAGGUUUGGGACUUCCCGGCCCAGGUUCAAAUCCUGGCUACCCCA